rnacentral:lncRNA from 1 species
UUCCCACAGAGAAGUCUUGCUCUGGCUUGCCAAAAGCGUUUAAUAUUGAGAAUGUUGGAUGUAUUACACACUGGUGGAAUUGCGUAACGUAAUAAGGCUUUUAACUAGCUUAGUGAAUCGAUUUAAACUAGUAAAUAUAGUAUGUUUUUGUUGGCAGUGAGUAAAUCUUUGAUUCAGAGGGUGGAAGAUGUUAUGAAUCUGAAGUGGGCUCUUGGCUUAGGUUCACACUUUCUUUUGUCUUUCCUCGAAAAGUCGUUUACAGUCUUCUGUGAGUCCCU